CAGCCAAGACAAAAGUGUUUUCUUUGUGCUUCAGCUCUGAAGCUGCUGACGUGCCAUUAUUACCUGUAUUGAAGAGAAAUAAACCCCAGGCAGUUUUUAUACUGUGAAACAAAACUUCCACAGCAUGAGACACUGCAAGACAAACUUUUUACUUAAGCUAAAGUGCUGGAAUGCCUGAUUUGAAGUGACUGGAAGCAGUAGAUGUUAAUGAAUUCUCAGUGCCUGUUGCAAAGCUCUUGCUCUGUACUUCAGAGUGUUUUCUUUGACCUUGUCCACAGAAACUAUUACCAGAAGAUGUAUUAAGCUUCACUAAAGACAAAAAGUAGAUUAUGGAGAGUAACCUUCUGUCACCUGCUUUGGUGAACAGACUCCUUCCUCCACUUGCCUGUGCACUGGCUCAACAAACAGUUUAACAAGGGCACUGCUUGUUUUUCACCAGAUCUUAUUUUCUAAUAGAAAACAGAAAUCCUUCCUCUACCCUUUUCCCUAUCCAGCAGUUCAUUAAUUCAUGUAAGUACUAUGUUGUUUCUCAUACUCUGGUUCACAGUCCUCUGUCCUAGAUGUAUUUUAUGAUUACAAGAGCUGCUUCCCCAAGCGUUCAGUAAUGUUUGGUGGCUAUAGACUUAAGCACUUUGGAUGGGUCCCAUAACACAGACAAAAUACGAUUAUAGC
rnacentral:lncRNA from 1 species